rnacentral:lncRNA from 1 species
CGUUGAAAGCUGCGAUCGAGCAGCCAUUUGCCAGCGACGGCACAUUCUUCUACCGUGGUUGAUGUUUCUCACUGCUUUGAACCCCCAAGACUCCACGGACUGCGGCUGCGGUCGUUUCAUUGCCAACUGUGAGGAUGAAGCAGCUUCAUGGCCGGAGAUCGGGUGCCUCCCAUCAGUUUCCCUUUUCAGCAAUAGAGGCCUUGGAGGCCUUUCUACCUGCGUUGCAUCCUGUGGCUGGACCACUCCAACGAUCUCGGCGGAAUCGUUACACAGG